rnacentral:sRNA from 1 species
UGGUGUAUGGACCGUCUUGGUGUCUCCAGUACCUAUCUCAGGCUUUCAUGCAUAGUAGGCACCCUGGGUGGGGUUGUAGCCUAUAUUUGCCCACAUUAAAAAAUUAGAGACCAGCAAGAUGUACGCAAGUUGCCGCCUCUGAUCUCGCCACCCCAUGGAGUUUCAUUUUAGCAGUUGUUCACCAAGUGUCAGCAGAGGUUGCAUUGGGGUGGUGGUGUUCAGGAGCCCGAGCCAGUCGGGGCUCACCAUGGUGGCAGCAGGCUUUAUGACUUGGUCUUUUCCUCUUUCCUUUUCCUCUCAGGUUGUGGCCACCCCGCUGCUGGCUAACUGCAGCUACUUCUGCCAGCCAGUGGACUAGAGAUGGAGCAAGCAUGGAAUGAGGGUAUGGCAGGGAGCAGGAAGCAAGCCUGGAGAGGGUUAAGAGGAACAACUUCACAACAAUCAGAGGGCAAGGAGGUAUCACCUGAGCCUUUUGAUGAGCGGCAGGGGACUGGCUGAUUUUGGAGUCAGAUAACCUAGGACCUCAAUUUGGAUCUCAGCUCUGCCAGUUACUUGUUGUGUGACUUCUGAGUGGCACACCUAACCCUUCUGGGACUCAAUUUUCUUAUCUAUAAAAUUGAGAUGAUAAUACCUAUUUUAUAAAGCGAAAUGAUUGAAAGACGAUGGACUCAGAUAAUAUAUGAUAGAUAAUAUAUGAAAGUGUUUAGCACAGGGGCCAGCACACACUGAGUGGUAGCUAAGUGGUAGUGAUUUCAUCACUGUUAGCUGUUCUCUGUUUCAACUGGAAGCAGAACAAAAGACUCUAGCUGAAGCCUGUCUCCAGGUAGCUAAGGCUUGUCACCAGCUGAAAUGGAUGUUGAGUCACUGGAUGUUGGUGAUGGGCUCAUGUCCUGUGACUCAAAGUAUGAUCCUUGGGCUGGCAGCAUCAGCAUCAUCUGGGAGCUUGUUGGAAAUGCAGAAUCUGUGCUCCAUCCCAGGCACACUGAUUAAGCAUCUUCUUUUCAACAAACAAGAUGCCCACACGCUCAUUAGAUUCCAAGGUUCUGGGCUGGGGCACAUUUGGAGAGUCCUUCUGUGGUCACUCCAGUAGCUUCUCCCCUUCUUUCCUGUGCGAACAGGCAUCUUCCUGGAGACAGGUAGGCACUGUGGAAUCAGCAGUGCGUAGAACAGUGAGGAAUUAGGGCUGAACCCAGCCCAGGUGGGACAAGCCCUGGCACCAGCCGACUGCAGUCUGAUGGAACUUCCCCUUCCUGCCCAGCAGAUGGCGAGCGUGUGCUGCUGGUGCCUCUUUCCAAAGGAUGUUGAAUUGUUUGACAGGUGUUCUUUACUUUAUGAAUGAAACCAGAGCAGCCCACCUUCCUGCAUCUCUACCACCAUGGCACCAUGCCCUGUGAAGGGUGAGCUGGAGUCAAAUACGUAGCAGGCAGCCAGGGUCAGUUUGUGGCCACUGCUGCCUCCUCUUCCUAUGGUCUCCUCACUGAGUGCCCCUUCCCUGUUGGGUUCAACAUGUCUAUGCUCCUGUAAGCCCUCAGCCUCCUCGUUCUCUUCCUCAACUUCUACCACCAGACACACCUGAGAGGCAAGCAAGAGAGGCUAAACUAGGAGCAGGACCCAGGGACUGAAACCAGCACAGCAUCCCCACAGAGAAUUGGGUGGAAGGCAGCAUGGCUUCCAGCUUACUGGUGCCGAGCAGAUUCCCCUGGGUCUCCAUUGUAUCCUCUGAAGGAAGGAGGAGGAUUGCCUUCUGUCCAGAUCUCAGGAUCAAACAAAUAGGUCCAACUUCCUGUGCUCACUUCAGUUAGAGCACUUCUCAUGUGACUUUGUAGCUUUGUGUGCAUCUCCUUCCUCUACUAGACCUAAGCCCCUCACUGGAAGGACUCUCUUAUUCUUGAUGUUCCCCACAUCUGGAAUUUCAAUAAACAUCUCAA